rnacentral:lncRNA from 1 species
GGGAAGCACAUCUUCCCUCAGUCAAAUCUUAACAUGACUGCAGACUUGUGAGUAACCACGGGCCGGAGGACCCAGAUAAGCUGAACCAGGGUGCCUGACCCACGGAAACUGUGAGAAAUAGAAAAUGUAAUGGUUUUUUAUUUUCCAAAAUAUUUUUGGUUGGAACUCCACUUGAAAAAUAAAGGCGGCCUCCUCAAAGGACGACAAGCUUCCACGAUCACGGCAACUGAAAGAAAGCAUGAAUUUCUGGGAGUAGCAUUAGGAUACAGGAUUCCUGCUGAGCUCACCAGUUCCUUGCUCUGCACAGCUGCCUUCUCAGCUGGGGAUUUUAAACCAGCACUGUGAGAAAGACAGAAAUGACCAUGAUGCAUUUUCCUCACUAUGAGAAAAAGAUUAAUCCAAAGUUGAUUGAGGGCCCACCAUGUAUUAGGCAUUGCCAUAGAAUUCCUGAAGAUCUGAACACAGUGACCACUUGGCAGAAACUUCUAGGUGCAGAAACGUCGGAAGAGAAUUUCCCAAUUGUGUCCUGAGUGGUACUGUUGCUGCAAGAUCUCCUUGCCCAACACACAGCCCAUAAUGAUGCAUCCAAGGCUAGAAGACAUUUUGUAAGACAGAAAUCUUUGCAACUUUAUGCACUUUUCAAGCUUAUCUGAGCAAAAAAAUCUCCCCCCCCCGCAUGUAAUCAUUAAUUUGUAACUUAAAUAUGUAAAAAAAAUCACUAUUAAUUUCAGCAAAAAUCUCUAUAGUUAUUUAUUAAUAAACCACAUAAAGAAAUUGUGUAUUGCUUUGCUUAAUAAAUUGAGAAGAAACUUGAGCUCACUCUGGCAGCUAUAGAGAGAGGGAACGAGUGAGGGGAAAUAAAGGUGUAAAGAGAGAGAGGGGCUGGGGUAGGGGUUCUAGAAGCGAGAAAUUCCCUGUAGUGGGGAUGGUUGAG